UACGGAGGGUGCAAGCGUUAUCCGGAUUCACUGGGUUUAAAGGGUGCGUAGGUGGGCUAGUAAGUCCGUGGUGAAAUCCCCGAGCUUAACUCGGGAACUGCCGUGGAUACUAUUAGUCUUGAAUAUCGUGGAGGUAAGCGGAAUAUGUCAUGUAGCGGUGAAAUGCUUAGAUAUGACAUAGAACACCGAUAGCGGAGGCAGCUUACUACGCGAUUAGUGACACUGAGGCACGAAAGCGUGGGGAUCAAACAGG
rnacentral:rRNA from 1 species